GACGUAGGGCGCGAGCGUUGUCCGGAUUUAUUGGGCGUAAAGAGCUCGUAGGCGGCUUGUCGCGUCGGGAGUGAAAUCCACUGGCUUAACUGGUGGCUUGCUUUCGAUACGGGCAGACUGGAGGUAUGCAGGGGAGAACGGAAUUCCUGGUGUAGCGGUGAAAUGCGCAGAUAAUCAGGAGGAACACCGGUGGCGAAGGCGGGUCUCUGGGCCGAUG
rnacentral:rRNA from 1 species